ensembl:snoRNA U3 Small nucleolar RNA U3
AAGACUAUACUUUCAGGGAUCAUUUCUAUAGUACAUUACUAGAAUAUAUAAAUACAAAAGAAAGAAAUAAAACCUUAAAAGUUAUUCAUAAUCCCAUUAUGCAGGGGU